UUUACAUUUAGCCCCCUCAUAAAAAAAUUUUCACAAAUAAUUCUAUUAAUUUUAUAAUUAUAAUUUUCGUCCUAUCUCUGCUAAGUAAGUACCAUGUUAGCGCCACGCGAGUAGGAUGGGGGCUGAGUGGUAAAUAGAACAUUCACCGUAUUCAAAUACGGUAAAUGAUUUAUCGUGUUUAGUGGUUAUAUUUAUUCUAUACUCAAAUAAUAUAAUAUACUCGACAAGGACACGGUGAAUGAAUUACUGUAUUCAGCUUAUUCCACACUCUCCACCUCUGCUCGAGUAGUACUUACGUGGCGCCUGUAUAGUGUGGAUAAGGAUAAAAUCAUAAUUAUAAAAUUAAUGAAGCUAUUUGUAAAAAUAAUUUUUUUGAGGGG
rnacentral:lncRNA from 1 species